AUCGAAUGUGAACUUUGGCACUUCUGAGCCGGACACCACCUGGAAUGUGGGCCAAACUGGGAUCUGUCUCAAAGGUGCGGUCAUAUGACUGAAUGAGAGUCAACAGAGGUGAACAUGGUCUCCUAAAACUCACUCGACGGCUUUCUUGGUGUGAUCUUGAAUGAUCCGAGCCUGCUGGGGGAGAUCAGAAGCUCGCACGGGGGGAGAUGGGAGGUUUUGGGAACAGACGUGUUGUUGUUGUAGCGUAGGGAGCAGGAGAGAUGACUUUGCUGUGUGGAGUUCGUCUGUGGAUGCGGAGCGAUUGAGAAACUUUUCUUCAUAUGUGCGCGCUGUGAUCGGGAAAAAACUACAGGCACACAUGGAGGCUAUGAAGAGCAGGGAGCUUGGAGCAGCAGAGAAGACGAGCUCCAGCAGCCGCUGCCAGAGGAGGGUAGCGGCGGUCAGCAGUCCUUCCGUGUCCGGGGCACGUCUCACUUUACCUGGGGUCAUGGACGCCGAGGGGAGGGUCGACGAGUCAAGACUGAGGAUGCACAUCUUCAAAAACGGUGGUGUGUGUCCGUCUGAGCGAGGCCUGGCAUGGCGUUUUGUCUUCGGGAUGUACCCGUGCAGCUCCACAGCGUUGGAGCGCUCCCUGCUGCAUGAGCAGCUGCUCGUACGUUACCAAGCCAUGAAAAAAAAGUGGCAGCAGUUCCUUCCCCAGGCUGUGCGGAUGCACCUCAAUGGCACUGAUGCUGAGUUGAUAGCAGCUGUCAAGUACUUUGACCAGAGGGAGGCAGAGGCCCAGCAGCAGACCCAGGAUCAGUGUGAGGAGGUCAGAGACAGGCUGACCUUUUUGGAGCUCCAGGCUCAGAUAUUAUUUGAGCGGGUCACAUUUGAGCAUGAUGAGCUGCGGGAAGCCAUACGAAUCAUUGACAAGGAUGCUCCUCGGACCAACAGAGACCUGAGCUAUUACCAGAAUGAAGGAUUAGGCAAUCUGUUGGUGUUGAGAGACAUCCUCAUCACAUAUGCUGCUUUUCAUCCAGGUAAUCGGCCACAAUGAGUCCCUUGCAGGGUUAUUGACUCUGACCUGAUCAGUCAGGUUCAGGGGCUUAUUGGUUUUGGUUUGUUUGGUUUGUUUUGGUUUGUUUGCAUCAAUAAAAUAAAAUAACUGUGCA
rnacentral:lncRNA from 1 species